rnacentral:rRNA from 1 species
UACGAAGGGGGCUAGCGUUGGUCGGAAUUACUGGGCGUAAAGCGCACGUAGGCGGAUUGUUAAGUCAGAGGUGAAAUCCCGGAGCUCAACUUCGGAACUGCCUUUGAUACUGGCAAUCUAGAGUCCGGAAGAGGUUAGUGGAAUUCCCAGUGUAGAGGUGAAAUUCGUAGAUAUUGGGAAGAACACCAGUGGCGAAGGCGGCUAACUGGUCCGGUACUGACGCUGAGGUGCGAAAGCGUGGGGAGCAAACAGG